GAUGAACGCUGGCGGCGUGCCUAAUACAUGCAAGUCGAACGAAACUUCUUUAUCACCGAGUGCUUGCACUCACCGAUACAGAGUUGAGUGGCGAACGGGUGAGUAACACGUGGGCAACCUGCCCAAAAGAGGGGGAUAACACUUGGAAACAGGUGCUAAUACCGCAUAACCAUAGUUACCGCAUGGUAACUAUGUAAAAGGUGGCUAUACUACCGCUUUUGGAUGGGCCCGCGGCGCAUUAGCUAGUUGGUAGGGUAAAGGCUUACCAAGGCAAUGAUGCGUAGCCGAAUUGAGAGGUUGAUCGGCCACAUUGGGACUGAGACACGGCCCAAACGCCUAAGGGAGGCAGCAGUAGGGAAUCUUCCACAAUGGGCGAAAGCCUGAUGGAGCAACGCCGCGUGGGUGAAGAAGGUCUUCGGAUCGUAAAACCCUGUUGUUAGAGAAGAAAGUGCGUGAGAGUAACUGUUCACGUUUCGACGGUAUCUAACCAGAAAGCCACGGCUAACUACGUG
rnacentral:rRNA from 1 species